UGCGUAGGCGGGUCUUUAAGUCAGGGGUGAAAUCCUGGAGCUCAACUCCAGAACUGCCUUUGAUACUGAAGAUCUUGAGUUCGGGAGAGGUGAGCGGAACUGCGAGUGUAGAGGUGAAAUUCGUAGAUAUUCGCAAGAACACCAGUGGCGAAGGCGGCUCACUGGCCCGAUACUGACGCUGAGGCACGAAAGCGUGGGGGAGCAAACA
rnacentral:rRNA from 1 species